GAGAUCCUGCUUUCUCUUCAGAAUGCCAUCUCUAGGAUGCCAAUGGGCUGUGUCUACAGUACUAUGUAGGAAAGUGCUGCAAGAGGUACUUGCACUGGGACUACUAAAAGAAACAACUUUACCCAUGAAGAAUGCAGAAAAGCAAGGCAGGAUGGUGGCCCACCCUGGAAGGACAUGGAGCCAAGGGAGCCUCCCCCAUCCAGGGAGGUGGUGAGUGAAUGCUGUGGCCCUGGGAACCCACGCUUCUCCCAUGGGUCUUCGUACCCUUGGGUCAGGAGAUCCCCUCGUGGACCCACUCCACCAGGGCCUUCAGUCUGACACACAGAACUAUGUGGAGUCUCAUCAGAGCAGCCAUUGAGUUUGCCGAGAAUGAUGGUUUCCAGCUUCAUCCAUGUCCCUGCAAAAGACAUGAACUCAUCAUUUUUUAUGGCUCCACAGUAUUCUAUGGCUGAUGGCAUGAUGAAGGCUCUAAUCAUUGGAAGGACACCUGCUCAUCAUAGAGAGAUAUUUGAAGAAGGCACAGGGCCUCUGAUUAACUUUGA
rnacentral:lncRNA from 10 species